AAAUUGGACAUCUCCAAAGCCGGACCAUUCUAAGCCGGUUUUUCGUGGUCCUACACCUCCAAAGCCCCUCACUUCGGAACAUCUCUUUUUCAAAGUGGUGAUACGGCAAGAUCAUGAGAGUAAAGUGGUGGGAUCGAGCAUUCUACAUGCAAAGUGAGCCAUUCUAACCCGGAUUUUCAUGGUCCUACACUUUCAAGGCCUCUCCCAUCUCCUGAAUUGGCCAGUGAUGUUGAUUCGAAGCAGCCCUUUUUCAAACUGGUGAUCCUGCGAUGUCUUACCAAUAGCCCACUAAGAUCUGGAGCUUAAAGCAUCGCCGUUGUAUCUCAUGUUCAAUUUAACAAUUUUCAAGUAUAAGCUGUUCAAAA